rnacentral:lncRNA from 10 species
AGUUGAAGGGUUAGUCUAGUAUCAGCAUAAUCCAAUAGAAGUUUCUGCAAUGAUGGAAAUUUCCUAUAUCUUUGCUGUCCAGUUACGGUAGCCACUAGCCACAUGUGGUUGUUGAGCACUUGAAAUGUAACUAGUGGAACUAAAAAUUGAAGAACUCAAUUUUUAAUUUUGCUGUUUUAGGCAAUGUAAAUUUAAGUAGCCAAAUGUCUGGCAUACUGGACAUACACACAUAGAACACUGUUUUCUAAGCAUAACUAAUCAUUAUAAUCACUUCUUGGAGGCUCUUGUUAAAAUACUAAACUUCUCUCCUAUAACUUAUUUAGUAGGUCUGCAGUGGGUCCUGGGAAUGUGUUUUUAAUGUAUACCCCAGAAAGUUUAUCAGGUUGGUUAGGGAAACACUCCAUUAGGAGAUUUCUGAGGUCCCUUCGAGUUCUCACUUUAGCACUGAUAAUUUAGAAUUUAGUCUAGUAGAAGUGAGCUCUGGACAAAGUCAGCAAGCUACCUCUCUGAACUGCGAUCUUAGACUGAACAUUCUUCACGAUCUGAAAGG